rnacentral:rRNA from 1 species
CCUACGGGUGGCAGCAGUGGGGAAUAUUGCGCAAUGGGCGAAAGCCUGACGCAGCGACGCCGCGUGAGGGAUGAAGGUCUUCGGAUCGUAAACCUCUGUCAGCAGGGAAGAACGGUCACUGUGCUAAUCAGCAUUGCAUUGACGGUACCUGCAAAGGAAGCACCGGCUAACUCCGUGCCAGCAGCCGCGGUAAUACGGAGGGUGCGAGCGUUAAUCGGAAUUACUGGGCGUAAAGCGCUCGUAGGCGGUAUGUCAAGUCAAGGGGGAAAUCCCCGCGCUCAACGGGGGAACUGCCUUUGAAACUGGCAAACUGGAGUGUGUGAGAGGAGAGUGGAAUUCCAGGUGUAGGAGUGAAAUCCGUAGAUAUCUGGAGGAACAUCAGUGGCGAAGGCGACUAUCUGGCACAUAACUGACGCUGAGGAGCGAAAGCGUGGGUAGCAAACAGGAUUAGAUACCCGGGUAGUC